rnacentral:other from 1 species
GACUCUCUGCCCUGCAAGUGUGGUCAGAACGCCCCGGCGGAAUAAUUUUAAUCAGGGAUCGCUUCAGGAGUGUUGUGUGCCUGCCCAUCGUUGAAUGGGACGCCUGAUACGCUCACAAGAGGUUCCACCUUAUUGGGACUCGCUGGGAGGCCCAAUGUCCCACGGCAGGCGUGGAGAGUUU